rnacentral:rRNA from 1 species
ACAGGGAUUGCCCUAGUAACGGCGAGUGAAGCGGCAACAGCUCAAAUUUGAAAUCUGGCUCUUUCAGAGUCCGAGUUGUAAUUUGCAGAGGGCGCUUUGGCUUUGGCAGCGGUCCAAGUUCCUUGGAACAGGACGUCACAGAGGGUGAGAAUCCCGUACGUGGUCGCUAGCUAUUGCCGUGUAAAGCCCCUUCGACGAGUCGAGUUGUUUGGGAAUGCAGCUCUAAAUGGGAGGUAAAUUUCUUCUAAAGCUAAAUAUUGGCCAGAGACCGAUAGCGCACAAGUAGAGUGAUCGAAAGAUGAAAAGCACUUUGGAAAGAGAGUCAAACAGCACGUGAAAUUGUUGAAAGGGAAGCGCUUGCAGCCAGACUUGCUUGCAGUUGCUCAUCCGGGCUUUUGCCCGGUGCACUCUUCUGCAGGCAGGCCAGCAUCAGUUUGGGCGGUGGGAUAAAGGUCUCUGACACGUUCCUUCCUUCGGGUUGGCCAUAUAGGGGAGACGUCAUACCACCAGCCUGGACUGAGGUCCGCGCAUCUGCUAGGAUGCUGGCGUAAUGGCUGUAAGCGGCCCGUCUUGAAACACGGACCAAGGAGUCUAACAUCUAUGCGAGUGUUUGGGUGUCAAGCCCGAGCGCGUAAUGAAAGUGAACGGAGGUGGGAACCCGCAAGGGUGCACCAUCGACCGAUCCUGAAGUUUACGGAAGGAUUUGAGUAAGAGCAUGGCUGUUGGGACCCGAAAGAUGGUGAACUAUGCUUGAAUAGGGUGAAGCCAGAGGAAACUCUGGUGGAGGCUCGCAGCGGUUCUGACGUGCAAAUCGAUCGUCAAAUUUGGGCAUAGGGGCGAAAGACUAAUC